ACUUCAAGGAUCCACUUGAAGAGCAAUUAUCUUGUUUACUAAAACUGGAUACCUUGUUUUCUUUUUGAUAUAUUUUUUAAAAGCUUGGGUAAAAAUGGUGCAAAUUAAAUAACUUUUAAACCUUCUUUGUAUAUUUUUAGAUAGCUUCAGAUAGAUAGGAGAAGAAGUACUCUUGUGUGUAUAUAGAAUAUGAUGUGUGUGUGUGUGUGUGUGUAAUUCUUAAAAAGUAUUCUUGAGAGAAAUGAAGAAAUGUAUUAUAAUUUUUUUUGUUAUUUUUAAAACCAGUAUACUAGAUAGUAUUUUAAAAGUCAUUCUAAAAAAAUGAUCUGUUUUAUCCUAUUUGUCUUUAUCUGCAGUUUCAAAGUAGGUGUUUGAGCCAUUCACAAAAAUUUCUAUUAAUGAAAUAUAGAUUAUUUGAAAAGAGAAAAAAGUAAAGACCAAAUCACUUUCACAUUAUUUGACUUGAACCUCCUUUAUUUCCUUCUUAGUCUUUAAAUAAUAAAGUAUCAGUUAAUUGUUUUUAUUUUUUAGAUAGUCAAGUAUGUAAAAUAAACUAAUAUUGAUUCAACUGAUUCUUAUUUUAAAAAUCUAUUUGUUCUUGUUUUCAGCAGAGUAGUUUAGGCCUUGGUAGAGACUUUUUCCUCUCAAUUGAACAGUUUAUGCAAUAACUCAUAUUGCCUAAAAAUAAUAAAUUCUAUCCUAAAUAUAUGAAAGCCAUUUAAGAUUGAGACUCCUAUGAUGAAUCUGUAAUGAACUUAAUUUCUAGUUCAUCUGUUUAUUUUUAACAUAUGAAUAUUUAUUUGCUUGAAUUGUUGAAAUUAGAAACUUUAAAAGAGGUGAAGGCAGCAUCCUUUAUGUUCUGAAACACAGUAUUUUAAAAAUGUAUUAUUUUCCUUAAUUUAGAAUUUAUAGCUUCUGUUCCCCCACUUACUGCCCAUUGAUGAAGUGAUAGUAAAGCAGUGUGAUUAUCUCAUUAUUUUAAAUCGUAUCCAUUCUCAUAGCUGUAAUGGAGAGACAUGUAUAAAAAUGCCUGUAAGUUUCCCUUGUACAUAAAGCCAUCAAGUGAAAAAACUCAAUUAGUCAUGCCAGCCAUGAGAGGUUAGUUGGCUGCCACUGAAAUGCAAGGGGCUGGGUGGGGGAGCCCUCUGUCAGGCCCUGGGGUCUGGAAUUGAGAAUGUGGCCUGUUUUAAUAGGUAAACGGAAAACACUUAGAGCAAAUAACUCAGCUGUGUCCCAGGGAACCUACAUUAUUUCCCAGGGAAUGACUAUAGGUUGGAAGAAAUGGGUAAACUUUUCCUGGUUCUUUGACCUUCACUGUCUUUAGGUUCUCCGCGUGUGUUAUUUCAAGCACCCCCACCACCUCACUGCUUCCUAAAAUUUCCAUUUUCCUCUUCUAUUUGCUUAUUUCCUUCACAUAAUAAUUGCUUAUUGGAAUUUUCUUCAGUUGUAAAAAUUACAACAUUCUUAGAUAUUCUUAAACCAACAAAUGCAAACCUCCAUAAAGUCAUUCUGGUUAGUUUUAAAAUUGAUACCUACUAUUUGUUUUGCUUUGUUCCCCACAUUUCCACAGUAACAAUCUAAAAUGCUAUUUAAAAAUAUUAACAGUGUGCUAUUUAUAGUUGAAAUAAGAUCUAGUACAAUUUUUUUUAUUAUUUCACAAAAAGAAUCUAACUUUAAAAAUUUACAGUAUUACAUUCCUACAAUUACCUGGACAAAGUAAUUGUGCACUUAUGUAAGAUAAAUUAACAUUUUGCAUAAAUUAGAAACCAUUACUAAUUACUUUCAUGUGGUUUUUUUCCUAUUUUUUUUUAAAUUUCAUGUUUGUAUCAGCGUAAUAAAAUAUAAUACAUGAACUAGGACAUCAUCUUUUUUUUCAGUGCUGGAGGUCAAAACCAGGGCUUCUUACAUGGUAGGCACAUUCUCUACCACUGAGUUGCACUCCCAACUCCUUAAGCUUUUUAAAAUGGACUGUAGUAGAUCAAUUACUGAGAAUAAGAUACUGUCAAUGUGGAUGCUAGAUAAUCAUAACCUGAAUGUUUCUGUAAAGUUGGUAAUGUUUAAAUAAUAGCACCAAACUGACUAACCAUCAUGACUAUUGUACCUUUCAUUUUUAUUUAUGAUUGCCAAAGUAAAAAUUGGCACAUCCUUAGAAGGGAGCUUCCUAAAGGAAGUAUAAGAGCUUCUAAAAUUAGCAGUGGUGAUUCAUUUGAAUGAUACUUACUCUUCCUGAUCCUGAAACUCUGAUUUGAACCUGCAUUUCAUUUCAUGGUGAUUAUGUCUAUAAAUACCUCACCUAUGUAAACCCUUUCCUCCCUGAGAGAACAGCAUAAACCAGGGUAGGGGAUAGUGGAGACAAGGGAGUUGCAUGUGGGUGUAACCCUGAGUAGGACUUGAAAUUUAGACCUUUGUGGCCCAUGUCUGCCCAGAUUGCUAUCAGAAUUGCCUUUUUUUCUUAAGCCAAAUUUUAACUAACUAUUACUAUUUGGAUUUAAAAAAAAAAAAAAAAAAAACACUUUCCUAAGGCUGUCAGUUUUAUGUGAUUUAUUAAGACAAAUUCAAACUUCCAGUUGCUUUUUUAUAUUAGAAGAGUAACAGGAUGUUAAUUGUUUCUGUUACCUUUUGAAGUAACUUACACAAAAUGAUUCUUAAGUAUACCAUCUUUUUGUUUGUUUGUUUUUGUUAUUUGCAUUACAAUUCUUAUUACACAUAUAUACCACAUUUUUUCAUAUUUCUGUUUGUAUAUAAAGUAGGUUGACACCCAAUUUGUGUCUUCAUACAUGUACUUUGGCUAAUGAUGUCCAUCACAUUCCACCAUCCUUGCUAAUCCCCUGCCUCCUCCCUUUCCCUCCCUCCCCUCUUCCCUCUCUAGAAUUCUUCUAUUUGUCCCAUUUCCCCGUUCCUGCCCCAUUAUGAGUCAGCCUCCUUAUAUCAGAGAAAACAUUCAGCAUUUGUUUUUUGGGGAAAUUGGCUAACUUCACUUAGCAUUAUCUUCUCCAACGCCAUCCAUUUACCUGCAAAUGCCAUGAUUUUUUAUUCUCUUUUAUUGCUGAGUAAAAUUCCAUUGUGUAUAUAUGCCACAUUUUUUUUUUUUUUAUCCAUUCAUCCACUGAAGGGCAUCUAGGUUGGCUCCACAGUUUGGUCUCACUAAAAUAAUGGAAAAGACUUUCUUCACAUUGUGCUAUAUCAGAAUAAGUAUUCAAGAUUCUGAAUAGAUGUAGAAGAUAUAUUUUAUUUUCUUUAUUUAUUUUUAUGUGAUACUGAUGAUCAAACCCAGUGUCUCACACAUGCUAGGCAAGCACUCUACAACUGAUCUACAACUACAGCCCUGAGGGGUUUUUUUUUGUUUGUUUUGUUUUAAUAUUUACUUUUUAGUUGUAGUUUGACAUGAUACCUUUAUUUUAUUUAUUUAUUUUUAUGUGGUGCUGAGGAUCAAAUCCAGGACCUCGCAUGUGCUAGGCGAGCACAAUACUGCUGAGCCACAACCCCAGCCCCAAUAGAAAUGUGGAUUACAUGGGUGAGGACAAAAGCUGCUGGAAGUGGAAAGAAGAGGGGUCAUAUGUGUCCUUCCACCUGAGUUAAAAGAAUGGAACAUUGGCACAUUCCAGAUCUAAGUGGAUAUUACCUUUCAGUCAUGAAUGUGAAUGCUUCAAAGCUUAUUUAAAUAUAUGCCAAAAUUUAUUUCAUUAUUCAAGAAAUAUUUAUGGAACACCUACUAUGUGUCAGUUCUAGGCACCAGGAAUAUAGCAGAACACAUGAACAAAACCCUUGCUGUCCUGAAACUUACAGUGGUAAGUGGUGCAAGAUUUAAAAAAAGAUUGUUUAUUCUAUGUAAAAUUUUUAAUUUUAUCAAAUGGUAUUAUUGCUUUUUUGAGUCUUUUAAAACCAAAUAAAUUUAAAUAUUUAAGAACA